UGAGGUCUGUAGCUGCCCUGGUGCUUUU
rnacentral:piRNA from 1 species